AAGUAGAAAUAUGUGAUAAAUCAUGACGUGAGUAUGUGAUAAUCCCAAAGUGAUGAGCACAGUCUGCAUGGCAAUGCAUAUUUUUUUUCGUUCUGUGUCCUAGGUCUCUACAUCCUUCUUUGGUGAACAUGAAAGCUUUUCAAGGUCAGCAGUGCCAUACAGGAAUCUUGCUUUCCCUAAACAUGAGAUGGGAUUUGACAUCAGUGCUGUUUUUCCCUGCUGGUAUUGUGAUUAAACUCCCAGAUCUGAGGAGGUGUUUGAAUAUGCCAAACAAAUCCUUCACCUUUUCUAGUCUUCUCCAACCAAAGGCCACUUUCAUGCCCACUUCCCUGCAACAGCUUUCCUAUGCUGGGGAAGGAAGGAGCCUGGAGAGAAGCCAUGGGAACCUGUGCAGGAAGUAA
ensembl:lncRNA